rnacentral:rRNA from 1 species
AGAGUUUGAUCAUGGCUCAGAAUGAACGCUGGCGGCGUGCUUAACACAUGCAAGUCGAGCGAGAAAGUUUCUUCGGAAAUGAGUAAAGCGGCGGACGGGUGCAUAACACGUGAGAACCUGCCCUUUAGUGAAGAAUACCCUCGAGAAAUCGAGGUUAAUGCUGCAUAUUUCCUUUCGAGGAAAAAGAUGGCUUUAUGCUGUCGCUAGAGGAUGGGCUUGCGUACUAUUAGCUAGUUGGUGGGGUAAAGGCUCACCAAGGCGAUGAUGGUUAACCGGCCUGAGAGGGUGUACGGUCACACUGGAACUGAGAUACGGUCCAGACUCCUACGGGAGGCAGCAGUGAGGAAUAUUGCGCAAUGGGCGAAAGCCUGACGCAGCGACGCCGCGUGGAGGAUGAAGGUCUUCGGAUUGUAAACUUCUGUUAAGCGGGAAGAAAGCCAAGUUUCUAAUACAAGCUUGGUAUGACGGUACCGUUAAAGAAAGCACCGGCUAACUUCGUGCCAGCAGCCGCGGUAAUACGAAGGGUGCAAGCGUUAUUCGGAAUUAUUGGGCGUACAGGGUGUGUAGACGGCGCAUUAAGUCUGUUGUUAAAUCCUUCGGCCUAACUGAAGAUAUGCAAUAGAAACUAGUGUGCUAGAGGAUGGAAGAGAGAAGUGGAAUUCCCGGAGUAGCGGUAAAAUGCGUAGAUCUCGGGAGGAACACCAAUGGCGAAGGCAGCUUCUUGGUCCAUUCCUGACGUUGAGACACGAAAGCGUGGGGAGCAAACAGGAUUAGAUACCCUAGUAGUCC